GGCACUAUAGCCAAGUGGUUACGGCGACAGAUUCGAAAUCUGUUACUCUUUGAGUGCGCAGGUUCAAAUCCUGCUGGUGUCG
rnacentral:tRNA from 1 species